GACCCGACUGACACGUCGCAGAAAGGAAAUCCUCAGGAUCAAACCUUCCACGCCUCCUGCUGCGAGCAUGAUGUCAUCAUGUUUACCUUUUGUUUGACUUUCACACAAACAUUCAGAGGAACAAAGGUUAAAAUCUCAGCUAGUCCUUCAUCCGAGAGCUUCCAGCUGCUCAUCAGAUCCAUGCGACACAGCAGACCUGCAGCGGGAGCACGCCUCUUUAUUUUCCAGGCCGCUGACGCUCCCUGAGUCACUGAGGACGAGGAAGGAGAGGAAGAGCGGUGCAGAGACAGACAGGCUCGAGGCGCGUCGGCAGCUCUGCAGCUCCACGUUUGUUCCUGAACAUGUUCUCCUGUCACGUUUGGUUCCUGCUCUCAGGUCUGAUCGGCUGCACGGGAAACUCCACAGCGAUCUGGUUUUCGGUCCCUGAGAAUCACCACGUCUGUCUGCCGUGCGGCAGCUCUGGCAGCUCAGACGUGAUCUGGACUCGGCAGGAUCAGGAGGUCCUGGUGACCCGACGGGGCGGCUACAAGACCAACAAGGACUGCCGGCGCUACCGCCUCAUGGUUAAUGGCGACCUCUGCGUCCAGCAUCUGAAGGAGUCGGAUCAUGGAAGAUACCGCUGUAACCAGCAGCUGGUGGCUGAGCUGCAGGUGCUGACAGGUCGGGACUACACGGUGUCCGCGGGCCGGACGCUGCUGCUCCCCUGCAGCGGCUCCUCCAAACCCAAACAGAGGUGGUUCCAGCAGAGGGAGGGCGAGAGGCGGGAGGCCGUCCUCACCAAGUACAGAAACGGUACGGUGAAACCAGAAAGGGGCGGCGGCCGGCUGAGCUUCACCAACGACGCCCUGCAGAUCCAGGACCUGCAGCCAGAGGACGCUGGAGAGUACGUCUGCAACGGGCUGCUGCAGGCCAGAGUCACGGUCCUCGCAGCACACGCAGAGACGAGCAGCCAGCCUCCGUCCACCAGCACACCUCCAUCACCUGCAGUGGUGACAGCCGCAGCACCGACACGUGAAGACACAGAGCUGCAGCCGUGGACGGCGUCCAGCGCACCGACAGAGGGUGAGGACUUAGAGACCCCGCCCCUCUGUGGGGAGACGAUCCACUACGCCUCUCUGGGCCGACAGAACUGGAGAGAGAGACCCAGCAGGAGUCCGCCGGAGCAGAGCCACCACAGCGUCAUCUACUCCUCUGUCGUCAGCAGACCUGCAGCGAGAGCUGAGCACAAACUCUGAAAGUCUGAGUGUACGGUCGUGUGACGGGAAGCUUAGUUUCACCUGUGACACAAGCUGUUAAAAUCCUGUCAGUCAGUUUGGUUUCAUGUUUCACUCUCUGCUUCAGCAGCACAGCUGCUUUCACUGAGUCUUUACAUGUUACAGCGAGGACUCGUUCACAGGCGUCCACAUGUGGAGCGUCACAUCUGGAGCGGCGGCCAUCAGGACAGAUCGUGGUGUCAGAAUCAGUUUAUUAGUAACAGACAAAGUGUGGAACCUGUUCAUGGAAGCAGCACAGCAAACAUAUUUACAGCAGCAAUAUUCAGACACAGACAUAAAGAUUUGAAACUGACCCGAGGGAACUAUUCACACACAUGGGUAAAAAAGGAUUUUCUUUAGUUUAGUAAUUAUCUGCUGUGGCAGAUUUACAUUCAUGGCUGUUACUUUAUUAACAGAAAUGUUUUACAAACAUUUUGCUUUCAUUGCAACUUUCUGGAUAUUUAACAUUUUAAGUUUUUCUGCUCACUGAAAAAUAAAUCUUAUCUGUUUACACAAACAAAUAAACUAAAAUCUAGAUUUUGAAAUCUAAUCACAUAUUUUCACAGUUUUAUUAAUUUAAAAAAUUCAUUUACGCUCAUUUAAAGUGCUUCUAUCUGUGGUCAUGUGAUGCCUUUGAGUUCUUGCACAUGUUCACUGUUGAGUACAGGACCUUCUCUUCAGCCAAUCCGGUUCCUCUCCUGGUGGUGGGGCGGGGCUUGUCUGGAUGCUUCAGGCUGGAAUAAUGCAAAGACUCUUCCUGCAGAGACACAAAGAGUAAAAGAUCUGAUUAAACUGCAGGUCAUCAUGCUGCAGGUUCUCUACAUCUGGCUUCCCUGCACUGCGUGGUGCUCAGCACAGGCCUGUGAAUCCUCUGAAUCUCAGCGUUCAGCUGUGCUGAAGAUAAAAGCUGCCAAAUAUUUAUGUUCAUGUUUCAGUGAAAGCACCUUUUCAGAUUUUACUGGCAAAACAUAAAGAAACGAGGGUUGGUUCAAGACUUUUGCACAGUGCUGUGCUGCAUGUGGAGCUUGUUUUUAGAAGCAGUAAUAAAACAGAACCUGUUUGAAACUCA
ensembl:lncRNA